rnacentral:tRNA from 1 species
CCCCCGAUAGCUCAGUUGGAAGAGCGCGAGACUGUAAAGGGUAAUGGUUCAUCUUGAGGUCGCUGGUUCGAUCCCGGCUCGGGGGA